CCUACGGGAGGCAGCAGUGAGGAAUAUUGGUCAAUGGACGGAAGUCUGAACCAGCCAUGCCGCGUGCAGGAAGACGGCUCUAUGAGUUGUAAACUGCUUUUGUACAAGGGUAAACCUGAAUACGUGUAUUCAGCUGAAAGUACUGUACGAAUAAGGAUCGGCUAACUCCGUGCCAGCAGCCGCGGUAAUACGGUGGAUCCAAGCGUUAUCCGGAUUUAUUGGGUUUAAAGGGUGCGUAGGCGGAUUGAUAAGUUAGAGGUGAAAUGUCCGAGCUUAACUCGGGAACGGCCUCUAAUACUGUUGGUCUAGAGAGUAGAUGCGGUAGGCGGAAUGUAUGGUGUAGCGGUGAAAUGCUUAGAGAUCAUACAGAACACCGAUGGCGAAGGCAGCUUACCAAUCUAUAUCUGACGUUGAGGCACGAAAGCGUGGGGAGCAAACAGGAUUAGAUACCCUGGUAGUC
rnacentral:rRNA from 1 species